rnacentral:rRNA from 1 species
CCUACGGGGGGCAGCAGUAGGGAAUCUUCGGCAAUGGGCGAAAGCCUGACCGAGCAACGCCGCGUGAAUGAUGAAGGCCUUCGGGUUGUAAAAUUCUGUUAUAAGGGAAGCGGUACCUUAUGAGAAAGCCACGGCUAACUACGUGCCAGCAGCCGCGGUAAUACGUAGGUGGCAAGCGUUAUCCGGAAUUAUUGGGCGUAAAGAGCGCGCAGGUGGUUGAUUAAGUCUGAUGUGAAAGCCCACGGCUUAACCGUGGAGGGUCAUUGGAAACUGGUCGACUUGAGUGCAGAAGAGGGAAGUGGAAUUCCAUGUGUAGCGGUGAAAUGCGUAGAGAUAUGGAGGAACACCAGUGGCGAAGGCGGCUUCCUGGUCUGUACUGACACUGAGGCGCGAAAGCGUGGGGAGCAAACAGGAUUAGAUACCCUUGUAGUC